rnacentral:rRNA from 1 species
CCUACGGGCGACAGCAGUGAGGAAUAUUGGUCAAUGGCCGGGAGGCUGAACCAGCCAAGUCGCGUGAGGGAAGACGGCCCUACGGGUUGUAAACCUCUUUUGUCAGGGAGCAAGGUGCAGGUCGGGACCUGCUGUGAGAGUACCUGAAGAAAAAGCAUCGGCUAACUCCGUGCCAGCAGCCGCGGUAAUACGGAGGAUGCGAGCGUUAUCCGGAUUUAUUGGGUUUAAAGGGUGCGCAGGCGGAGGCACAAGUCAGCGGUAAAAUCGCGGGGCUCAACCCCGCUCCGCCGUUGAAACUGUGUGCCUUGAGUGCGCGAAGGGUAGGCGGAAUGCGUGGUGUAGCGGUGAAAUGCAUAGAUAGCACGCAGAACUCCGAUCGCGAAGGCAGCCUACCGGCGCGCCACUGACGCUGAGGCACGAAAGCGUGGGUAUCGAACAGGAUUAGAUACCCUUGUAGUC